rnacentral:rRNA from 1 species
GACGUAGGGGGCAAGCGUUGUUCGGAAUUAUUGGGCGUAAAGCGCUCGUAGGCGGGACAGGACGUUCGUGUUGAAAGACCUCGGCUCAACUGAGGGACCGGCUCGAAUACUCUUGUGCUUGAGGCAAUCAGAGGGUGAUGGAAUUCCCGGUGUAGCGGUGAAAUGCGUAGAUAUUCGGAAGAACACCAGUGGCGAAGGCGGCUCACUGGACUGGUAUUGACGCUGAGGUGCGAAAGCGUGGGGAGCAAACAGG